CCGAUAAAGGCGUGGUUUUUUUUUUGGGGGGUUGGAGAAAUCCGGCCCUCAAGACCCGCUAUUUGCACCCCUUUGUGAACCGAGAAACGUAUUUUUUUCGGUGGUUUUUUAACCGAGGCCGCCGAUCGAAACAAACACUGUGAUUUUUAUUUAUUUUGGCGUCUCCCAAGAAGGCUGAGCAAUCGGCGUUUUUGUAAAACAAAACAAAAAA
rnacentral:misc_RNA from 1 species